rnacentral:ncRNA from 1 species
AAUUUGUUUUAUUUUUGUUAUUUAUCUUGUUUAAUUUUUAUUUUACAUGUAAAUUUUUGUAGGAAAUGUAUUUUAUCUAAAAGAUAAAGUAUUUUUAAAUUAUUCGCAGUAAUUAAUAUUAUAAAUAAAAGAAAUUUUGAUUUAGUAAUAUAUUUUAGUAUUGGUAAAUUUUGUGCCAGCAACCGCGGUUAUACAAAUAAUACAAAUAAGAUUUAUUAGUAAUAGUUAAUUUGUUUUAAUACAAUAAAAUUAAUUUAAAUUUUUUAAGUGAAAUUUUAAAUUUAACUAAUUUUAUAUGAGAAUGUUAAUGAAGCUAAAAAAUUUUAAUAAUAAACUAGGAUUAGAUACCCUAUUAUUUAAAAAGUAAAAUUCAAUACUUGAGUAGUAAUAGAUAUGAGCUUCAAACUUAAAGAAUUUGGCGGUGUUUUAGUCUAUUUAGAGGAACCUGUCCUGUAAUCGAUAAUCCACGUUGGACCUUACUAAAAUUUGUUGUCAAUUUGUAUAUCGCCGUUAUCAGAAUAUCUUAAAAGAGGAAUAAUUUUCUUAAUUUAUUAUUAUAAUUGAUGUCAGGUCAAGGUGCAGUUUAUAUUUUAGUAGAGAUGGGUUACAAUAAAUUUAUUUAAACGUUAAAUUGUUUGAAAUAAUGAUUUUAAGGUGGAUUUAAAAGUAAAAUAAUGGAUAUAAUUUAUUUGAUUAUAGCUCUAAAACAUGCACACAUCGCCCGUCGCUCUCAUUAUUAAAAUGAGAUAAGUCGUAACAUAGUAGAAGUAUCGGAAGAUGCUUCUAGAAUGAC